rnacentral:snoRNA from 1 species
AAACCGUGGUGUGGGCAACAUCUCAGCAGGUUCUUGUACCUCUCCCAAGCAUCAUACAUACUCUCAUCAUCAAAUUGCACAAAAGAAGAAAUAUCAUAUUACGCAUCU